CACGUAGGGGCCAAGCGUUGUCCGGAUUUAUUGGGCGUAAAGAGCUCGUAGGCGGCUCGGUAAGUCAGGUGUGAAACCUCCAGGCUCAACCUGGAGACGCCACCUGAUACUGCUGUGGCUAGAGUCCGGUAGGGGAGCGUGGAAUUCCUGGUGUAGCGGUGAAAUGCGCAGAUAUCAGGAGGAACACCAGCGGCGAAGGCGGCGCUCUGGGCCGGAACUGACGCUGAGGAGCGAAAGCUAGGGGAGCGAACGGG
rnacentral:rRNA from 1 species